AAAGCCAUCAAGCACAGCUUGGUGUUGGGCGUUUGUCCGGCCGUUUCGGCGCUGGACUCGCCUCAAACCCAUCGGCGGCACGGCGUGGGCUUGCAGCACAGCAGAUGUGUCGUUGCAAGCGCCCGCAGCGGGCCCGCCGCAAAGGCCUCUUUCUCUUG
rnacentral:misc_RNA from 1 species